GCUGAUCAAUACUUCACACCCGGCUUGCCCUCUUCAUAGACUAGGUUUAGGGUCUCCCCCUCUCAACAGACUUCAUUGCCCCUUUAGAGAAGCUAGGAGAUUCCCCAGAACUGUUUAAUGAGGCUACAAGCAAUGGUACCUGAUACAUUAUCCCAAAGGUGCAUCAGUACCUAUCAAAAACAAGAAAAUGAAUAUCCUGCAUCACACUUGAUGCACACAAUCCCAUAAUUCAAUCAUGAUCAUCUUAAGUAUCUUUUCAAGCACAAGCAGUGAAUAAGAUGAAUGAAAAAGAUUGAAGAAAGAGUUUAAAAAGUCUAAGGGAACUUCCCUUGUGUUUUUGUGAGUUUCCUAACUCGGCCAAUGCACCAUCUUCAUGGAAUCAUCAACUUCUUGGAAAGGCAGAAUGGAUUCAUCAGCUUCUCCUCAAUCACCUCUCAUUGAAGGCGCAUUGAUGGAGAGCCUUCUUCCUCACUCGCCAAGACUGCUCUGAAAAGCCUCUUACCUAGACACGCCACUGACUUGGUCCGGUUGAUGAUCCUUUGUAGAAGCCUUUGCAAAGACUUGUUACUGACCAUGGAUCAUAUGCAUUAAGACUCCCCCUCAAGCUUAGAACCGAGACUAUAAGGAGCUAAGCUUGUGAUGAUCCUAUGCAUCUCCAUGGUCUAAUAACUAUCAUCUUUCAUGAUAGCUUUCUUCUUGUGAGUUUACUCUCUUCCUUAACCAGGAACUAGGGUGUUUGAAUCACCAUAGAGAGUCUCACAAGACACACCUCUCAUUGCAUAAUGACCCAUGCUACACUUCCUGUAGACUAAGGACUAGAUAUGUCCAAUGGAAUUAUGCAAUGGCCAUCUCUCAUUGCAUACUCAAUCACACUACACUUCCUGUAGAUUAUGGACUAACAUGUCCUAGUGAUGAUAUGCAAUGGCGCAAGACCCUUUUCUUUACAUUCUUGGUUGUUGGCGAGUUACAUGUAUCACAUUUCCUUGUGUACCUAACACCACCACAACUCAAUGAACGAUCAGAUCAUCCCAUUGGGAUCAAACCAAGAUUAUCCAUCCUGUUUGAUCACCAAUGCCACAAUAAUAUAUAAUACUUGAAACAAGCUAGACAAUCAAGACAAUCAAGUAAAGACAAUCAAUUCAGUUUUUUUUUUUUUAAAUGCAACAAUAGAUGAAUGCAUUAGGUUACACACUAACUAUAUGAAUGAAACAGAUUCAAUCCAAAUGGAACACAAGUCUAGAUGAUACUUAUGCAAUCAAGGCGACAAGAGUGACUCAAUUAAUGCUUAUGCUCACUAGUUUUAUCACAGCCAAUGAUCAAGUAGCUUAGACAUACUUCUAAAUGCUUAUAAGACAUCACUGAUGGAUUUAACUAUGGCAUAGCAACAAUCAGAACUGGACUGAGUCAAGACAAGAAGAUUUCAAUUUCUAACAAUGACAAUGCAAGUUCUAUACUUAAGUUCUCUAAAUGCAAAGCUUACAUCAGUACAUUUGCAAUUUAGGCUCAUUUUUAAAUGCAUUACUACAUGAAUGCACAAUCUUAAAGCAUUAGCUAUAUGAAUGCAACAGGUUCAAUCCAUGAGCAAUAUUAAAGCUAUGCACAACAGUUUCAAUCAAAACCAAUGAUGCAAGCAACUUAGACAAUUUCUAAUUUAUGCAAGACUUUCAUUGAUGGAUUAAACAUAGGCAAUAGCAUCAGAUAACACUAGGAUUGAACUUAGACAAUAUGAGAUAUGCUUAUGUAUGCAAAAUAACUUAUCAAUCAUGAUGCAAGCAGCAGAGACAUUCUACUCAAUUCUACAACACAUUCAUGAUGAUUCAAGCUAUGACAACAUCCAAGACAAUGCAAUAAACAGAACAUGAGAUUCUGGGACUCUAGACAUUACUUACUAUCAAUAAGACAAUGCAGCAGCAAAACAAUUUCAAUGCAAUUAGCCUAGACAUUCUACUUAGAAGCUAUAAACUCUUAGUGGAAUUAGGGAAAGCACAUAGUAUAAUCAAGAGAUAAACCUAUCAAGACAUAUGAAGAUAGAUGAGACUAGGUUUACUCCCUUGUUUAAGGUGAUGAGGAGUGGUUCUUGAAGUUGCCACUUGAAUCCUCACUUCUUCUUCUUCUCUUAUUGCAAUCACCCUUCUGAAUUUGCCACCAUGAUGGAAUGCUUGUGGAUGCUUCAGCUACUUCUUCAAUCACCUCACAAUAGAAUCCGCCUUGAUAGAGUAGCCUUCUUCUUCACACAGCCAAGAGUGCUCUGUCAUAGUUUGAGCACCCUCUUGAAUAGGCACGCCACUGCGUAGACCCGGUUAGCUUCUUCUUCAGGUACUUGCAAUGUUAAGGAGAAGAACAUCAGUGAGUUUUACAACCAUAUGUGCUUCUCCCUUUUUGUAACACCUCUCCAUUGUACACACAAUGGGCAUUAUUCUUUCUCUUUCAACUCGGAUUUGAUGAUGAACUAGGAACACCUUUUGUGAACCUGAAACAUCACUCAAACUCUAGCAAAGAUAAGUCACAAUUGCAUUGGGAUCAAUCCUUGACUUCAUCAAGUUUGAUCACCAAUGUCUCAAGCUUUAUAACAUUAGAUAGAAUCAAGACAAUGUCAAGUUCUUAUCUAUGCAAGCAACCAUUCUCUAAAUACUAAGCAAGACCUUAUCAGAUUCAAGUCAAAGUAUUUAGGCAAUUUUAUGCAACUUAGAUUUUAAUCUAAAUGCAACAAUACAAGGCAGUAAGCAUUAAUCUUAAUCAGUUUCUAACUCAUGAAAGCAAGCAUGAUUAGAUAAUAUAAUCUAUCAUCUUAACAAGACAAGUUAAUUUAGAACUGACAUUAAGCAUUUAACCAUUUUCAAUAGUAUUGAUGUCAAAUCUUGAUUAAUAAAUUAUCAAGUUUGAUUCCCAAUAUCACAAGCAAUGCAACAGAUAUACACAAGAGAUUAUCAAGUUCUAUUCUUUGCAAGCUAAAUCUCUAAGUACAAGUAAGAUCCUAACAGAUUCAAGACAAGUUACUUAGGCAUUCUUAAGAGCUUCUUUACUCAGUACUUAGACAUGAAUCUAAUACUUCAAUGUAAGACAGCCACAAGACUAUAUGCAACGGCUUUAAAUUCGGUUUCAUUCCAUGUAUGCAAGCAGAUUUAAUUAAUCACAACAAGCAUCACUAUGAACCGGAGCUAAGCAUACUAAACAAUUUCAAUACCCAAACGAGACUCUUAAAGUAUCCUGGGACAGAUUCUAAAGCAACUUCAUUUUAGCAAUCUUUUAAACAAUCCUCAGGUUUCCAAUCACAUCACAACAUCACAACCUGUUCAUACACUCAAGCUUUAUACAAGAGAAAGAGAUUUCCUUACAGCCAAGGAACUAGUGUUAGUUCCUUGAAACUCCUUAGUACAUGGAAAGAUCCGAGCUGUUGGUGUCAACUCCUAAAUCUCCUUCUUUCAUGGACCUUUCUCUUGAUCCCACCAUGCCUAAGACACCUCCUCUCUUCAUUUUUGAGUCGCCAUACCAGGUACAAGUUGAAAGCUUUCACCUUUCUUCUUGGACAGUGAAUGGGAAUGGCUUGGACAUGCUUCCAAUGGCCUUCUUGGAGAAUCACCAGGAAGUUGGAGUGGGGAACGACCAAGAACAGCUUCUGGACGCCAUUGAUGAGCACACCUUCUUCUUGAAGAGGUUGAACAGCCAAAUGAACAUNNNNNNNNNNNNNNNNNNNNNNNNNNNNNNNNNNNNNNNNNNNNNNNNNNNNNNNNNNNNNNNNNNNNNNNNNNNNNNNNNNNNNNNNNNNNNNNNNNNNNNNNNNNNNNNNNNNNNNNNNNNNNNNNNNNNNNNNNNNNNNNNNNNNNNNNNNNNNNNNNNNNNNNNNNNNNNNNNNNNNNNNNNNNNNNNNNNNNNNNNNNNNNNNNNNNNNNNNNNNNNNNNNNNNNNNNNNNNNNNNNNNNNNNNNNNNNNNNNNNNNNNNNNNNNNNNNNNNNNNNNNNNNNNNNNNNNNNNNNNNNNNNNNNNNNNNNNNNNNNNNNNNNNNNNNNNNNNNNNNNNNNNNNNNNNNNNNNNNNUUCCCAUGUACUAAGGAGUUUCAAGGAACUAACACUAGUUCCUUGGCUGUAAGGAAAUCUCUUUCUCUUGUAUAAAGCUUGAGUGUAUGAACAGGUUGUGAUGUUGUGAUGUGAUUGGAAACCUGAGGAUUGUUUAAAAGAUUGCUAAAAUGAAAUUGCUUUAGAAUCUGUCCCAGGAUACUUUAAGAGUCUUGUUUGGGUAUUGAAAUUGUUUAGUAUGCUUAGCUCCGGUUCAUAGUGAUGCUUGUUGUGAUUAAUUAAAUCUGCUUGCAUACAUGGAGUGAAACCGAAUUUAAAGCUGUUGCAUAUAGUCUUGUGGCUGUCUUACAUUGAAGUAUUAGAUUCAUGUCUAAGUACUGAGUAAAGAAGCUCUUAAGAGUGCCUAAGUAACUUGUCUUGAAUCUGUUAGGAUCUUACUUGUACUUAGAGAUUUAGCUUGCAAAGAAUAGAACUUGAUAAUGCCUUGUGUCUAUCUGUUGCAUUGCUUGUGAUAUUGGAAAUCAAACUUGAUAAUUUAUUAAUCAAGAUUUGACAUCAAUACUAUUGAAAAUGGUUAAAUGCUUAAUGUCAGUUCUAAAUUAACUUGUCUUGUUAAGAUGAUAGAUUAUAUCAUCUAAUCAUUAUUGCUUUCAUGAGUUAGAAACUGAUUAAGAUUAAUGCAUACUGCCUUGUAUUGUUGCAUUUAGAUUAAAAUCUAAGUUGCAUAAAAUUGCCUAAAUACUUUGACUUGAAUCUGAUAAGGUCUUGUUUAGUAUUUAGAGAAUGGUUGCUUGCAUAGAUAAGAACUUGACAUUGUCUUGAUUCUAUCUAAUGUUAUAAAGCUUGAGACAUUGGUGAUCAAACUUGAUGAAGUCAAGGAUUGAUCCCAAUGCAAUUGUGACUUAUCUUUGCUAGAGUUUGAGUGAUGUUUCAGGUUCACAAAAGGUGUUCCUAGUUCAUCAUCAAAUCCGAGUUGAAAGAGAAAGAAUGAUGCCCAUUGUGUGUACAAUGGAGAGGUGUUACAAAAAGGGAGAAGCACAGAUGGUUGUAAAACUCACUGGUGUUCUUCUCCUUAACAUUGCAAGUACCUGAAGAAGAAGCUAACCGGGUCUAGGCAGUGGCGUGCCUAUUCAAGAGGGUGCUCAAACUAAGACAGAGCACUCUUGGCUGUGUGAAGAAGAAGGCUACUCUAUCAAGGCGGCUUCUAUUGUGAGGUGAUUGAAGAAGUAGCUGAAGCAUCCACAAGCAUUCCAUCAUGGUGGCAAAUUCAGAAGGGUGAUUGCAAUAAGAGAAGAAGAAGAAGUGAGGAUUCAAGUGGCAACGUUAAGAACCACUGCUCAUCACCUUAAACAAGGGAGUAAACCUAGUCUCAUCUAUCUUAAUAUGUCUUGAUAGGUUUAUCUCCUGAUUAUACUAUGUGCUUUCCCUAAUUCCAUUAAGAGUUUAUAGCUUCUAAGUAGAAUGUCUAGGCUAAUUGCACUGAAAUUGUUUUGCUGCUGCAUUGUCUUAUUGAUAGUAAGUAAUGUCUAGAGUCCCAGAAUCUCAUGUUCUGUUUAUUGCAUUGUCUUGGGUGUUGUCAUAGCUUGAAUCAUCAUGAAUGUGUUGUAGAAUUGAGUAGAAUGUCUCUGCUGCUUGCAUCAUGAUUGAUAAGUUAUUUUGCAUACAUAAGCAUAUCUCAUACUGUCUAAGUUCAAUCCUAGUGUUAUCUGAUGCUAUUGCCUAUGUUUAAUCCAUCAAUGAAAGUCUUGCAUCAAUUAGAAAUUGUCUAAGUUGCUUGCAUGAUUGGUUCUGAUUGAAACUGUUGUGCAGAGCCUUAAUAUUACUCAUGGAUUGAACUUGUUGCAUUCAUAUAGCUAAUGCUUUAAGAUUGUGCAUUCAUGUAGUAACGCAUUUAAAAAUGAGCCUAAAUUGCAAAUGUACUGAUUUAAGCUUGCAUUGCAUUUAGAGAAAUUAAAAUCUGCUUGUUAGCAUCUAAUGUCUUGUAGGAUUUAGAAGUAUGUCUAAGCUACUUGAAUCAUUGGCCUUAAUAAAUCUAGUAAGCAUAAGCAUGAAUUGAGUCACGCUUGUUGCCUUGAUUGCAUAAAGUAUCAUCUAGUCUUGUGUUCAUUUGGAUUGAAUAUGUUUCAUUCAUAUAGUUAGUGUGUAACCUAAUGCAUUCAUCUAUUGUUGCAUUUAAAAAAAACUGAAUUGAACCUAAAAAAAAAAAAAAAAGAUCAGUAUAUUGUUGAAAGUAUACAUUGUCUUUGCAUAUUAUUGUCUUGAUUGUCUAGCUUGUUUCAAGUAUCAUAUAUUAUUGUGGCAUUGGUGAUCAAACAGGAUGGAUGAUCUUGGUUUGAUCCCAAUGGGAUGAUCUGAUCUUGCAUUGAGUUGUGGUGGUGUUAGGUACACAAGGGAAGUGAUACAUGUAACUCGCCAUCAACCAAGAAUGUAGAGACAAAGGUCUUGUGCCAUUGCAUAUCAUCACUUGGACAUGUUAGUCCAUAAUCUACAGGAAGUGUAGUGUGAUUGAUUAUGCAAUGAGAGAUGGCCAUUGCAUAAUACCAUUGGACAUUUCUAGUCUUUAGUCUACAGGAAGUGUAGCAUGGGUCAUUAUGCAAUGAGAGAUGUGUCUUGUGAGACUCUCUAUGGUGAUUCAAACACCCUAAUUCCUGGUUAAGGAAGAGAGAAAACUCACAAGAAGAAAGCUACCAUAAAAGAUGAUAGUUAUUAGACCAUGGAGAUGCAUAGGAUCAUCACAAGCUUAGCUCCUUCUAGUAAAGGUUCUAAACUUGAGGGGGAGUCUUAAUGCAUAUGAUCCAUGGUCAGUAACAAGACUUUGCAAAGGCUUCUACAAGGCUCAUCAACCGGACCAAGUCAGUGGCGUGUCUAGGUAAGAGGCUGUUCAGAGCAGUCUUGGCGAGUGAGGAAGAAGGCUCUCCAUCAAUGCGGCUUCAAUGAGAGGUGAUUGAGGAGAAGCUGAUGAAUCCAUUCUGCCUUUCCAAGAAGUUGAUGAUGCCAUGAAGAUGGUGCAUUGGCCGAGUUAGGAAACUCACAAAAACACAAGGGAAGUUCCCUUAGACUUUUUAAACUCUUUAUUCAAUCUUUUUCAUUCAUCUUAUUCAUUGCUUGUGCUUGAAAAGAUACUUAAGAUGAUCAUGAUUGAAUUAUGGGAUUGUGUGCAUCAAGUGUGAUGCAGGAUAUUCAUUUUUUUGUUUUUAAUAGGUACUGAUGCACCUUUGGGAUAAUGUAUCAGGUACCAUUGCUUGUAGCCUCACUAAACAGUUCCGGGGAAUCUCCUAGCUUCUCUAAAAGGGCUGCGAAGUCUGUUGAGAGGGGGAGACCCUAAACCUAGUCUAUGAAGAGGGCAAGCCGGGUGUGAAGUAUUGAUCAGCCUCACCAGUGUUUUGAAGAUGAUCUGGUCGUGUCCUAGCUUCUCUUAGAUGGCUGAGAAGUCAGUUGAGAGGGGGAGACUUCAAACCGGUUCCAUGAAGAGGUGAAGCUGAAGUGUGAAGUGUGAAGUGUGUCUUAAAUCCAUGUUUGAGAUUAAAGACUUGGGAGAAAUGAAAUACUUUCUUGGAAUUGAAAUAUGUAGAUCCAAGGAAGGGGAUGAUCUGGUCGUGUCCUAGCUUCUCUUAGAUGGCUGAGAAGUCAGUUGAGAGGGGGAGACUUCAAACCGGUUCCAUGAAGAGGUGAAGCUGAAGUGUGAAGUGUGAAGUGUGCGCAAAGCUGUGAAGAGUUGCUGCACCUGUUAGGCCGUGAUCCAGAGCUUCUUGUGUCCAACCACAUUGGUUCUAAGGCACAAGAGCUCACUGGCCAAUCCCUAGGCUUUGGAGAGCUCUACUCUUUUUCCCUUGCAAGGUUUUGUCCCAAUGGGUUUUCCUUGUAAGGUUUUUAAUGAGGGAGACUCUUCAGAGUUCCAAGCUUGGCUUAGGAUCUCCUAAGGUCAAGCUUGAGGGGGAGUGUUGAACUGAAGAGAAGAUAGAGCUUGUACAACAAUAGGGCAAGCUCAAGCUUGAGGGGGAGUGUUGAACUGAAGAGAAGAUAGAGCUUGUACAACAAUAGGGCAAGCUCUAGAAGAUGUCCAGAAGAGUUCAAUCAAGCUUCAGAGGUGGUCUGAAGUAGUUAUCCUGUGAAGUUAAGUCUAGGAAAGACUUAGACUGAUCAUGUGAAGGCUUUGGAGGAGUUAGAGAGAAGAUGGAAGUGUGGUGCAAAGAUAGGGCGUUCAGUAUGGCCUUGUACGGUCUAGGGUGAAUCAUGAAGGUGUUUGGGGUCAGUCAAGAAGGGAGAUAAGGCAAUGUGCAUAGAUAGGUAGAGUGGUAUGGACAGGAGGUCCGUACCAUCAACCGUACGGCCACUCCACACGCCCAAGUCACCCGGUUCAGCUUAAAUCAAAGAUGAGCAAUGUGAGGGCGGUUUACUCAGAUCCAAUCCUAUCUUAAGUGACCGUUGAAGGACGCCCAAGUCACCCGGUUCAGCUUAAAUCAAAGAUGAGCAAUGUGAGGGCGGUUUACUCGGAUCCAAUCCUAUCUUAAGUGACCGUUGAAGGCUUAUGGAGGGAAGGAAUAUACCUGAGCAUCUUGUGGUCCAAGAGACAGGCUGGAAAGGGAAAAGAAGCUUUACCUUUACAGCCAAGACCCAUCUCCUCCCUUCAAUGCAUUCAUGUGUUAGAGACUGAUUAAGAUUAAAGCAUUUUAUCAUCUUGUGGCUGUCUUACAUUGAAGCAUUAGAUUCAUGUCUAAGUGCUGAGUAAAGAAGCUCUUAAGAGUGCCUAAGUAACUUGUCUUGAAUCUGUUAGGAUCUUGCUUGUACUUAGAGAGUUAGCUUGCAAAGAAUAGAACCUGAUGAUGCCUUGUGUCUAUCUGUUGCAUUGCUUUGUGAUAGUGGGAAUCAAACUUGAUAAGUUAUUAAUCAAGAUUUGACAUCAAUAAGAUUGAAAAUGGUUAAAUGCUUAAUGUCAGUUCUAAAUUAAAUUGUCUUGUUAAUAUGAUAGAUUAUAUUAUCAUGCUUGCUGUCAUGACUUAGAAACUGAUUAAGAUUAAUGCAUAUUGCCUUGUUGCAUUUAGAUUAAAGUCUAAGUUGCAUAUUAAGGAGGGUUUAAAAUUGCCUAAAUACUUUGACUUGAAUCUGAUAAGGUCUUGCUUUGUAUUUAGAGAAUGGUUGCUUGCAUAGAUAAGAACUUGAUAUUGUCUUGAUUCUAUCUAAUGCUAUAAAGCUUGAGACAUUGGUGAUCAAACUUGAUAAAGUCAAGGAUUGAUCCCAAUGCAAUUGUGUCUUAUCUUUCCUGGAGUUUGAGUGGUGUUUCAGGUUCACAAGAAGUGUACUUUGCCCACCAUCCAUCCAAGUAGAAGAGGAAGACUUUGCCAUUGUUAAAGCAAUGGAGAAAGACUUGUGUGUAUGGCCGGUUGAGAUAGCGCAGCUAGUGAUAGUGAUGUGCUCCUGGUUCAUGGAGACACACAAGUAAAGGUCAUCACCUAAGUCUUGGGGAGACUGAUGACCUGAAGGCAUUGGAGCUGAAGGCAAUGGCAGAUCGGUUGGGUUAAGCGCAGCUGUAGGUAGUGAUGCGCUCCCGGUUUGAAGUCUCAUUGAGGCUCACUUCAAGCUUGCACCUAUACUAAGUCAAGCUUGAGGUGUGGAUUCAAGUGAGCUACCAGAAGAUCCUCUAAGCUCAAUGACCUGGUUCCUCAAGGCCAUUGCAAGCUGAUCAUGUGUAUGUUGAGAUGAGGAAGCCAUUAUGUGAAAGAAAAGAGGAGUUGGGCAAGUAAUGUGCAAGGGAAGAACGGUACGGCCUAAGUACGGACGGUACGGAUCACCUCGACCAUGAGAGCUUGAAUGACCUUUAAAGUCAGUUUAAAGGUUGGGCAAAGUUAGGGCAUGGUGUGUACGGAUAGGGCAUGACCGUACAUCUGAGGGAACGUGAAAGAGAAGGAAGAUGGACGAGCAGUGCCUUCAUUAGACACGGAAGGUUUGGAACGGAUCAGACCGUUUAUGGAUAAGGUUGGGACGCGCCUUAUCCAUCCAGCUCUUGGACAGGCUGUAAAGCCAGAAGCAUGUGUGCCCUCCUGUCCGUUCAUUUCAAAAGGAGACACUCCAUUCAGCCUUGACUUCACAUGCUUAGACUAGUGCCAUUUCCCUUUGCGCAAAAGCCCUAAUGACUCUCCUAUAAAUGUUGUAACCUCAUCCAUAAUAAAGAUUAGACAGUUCAGAUUAUUCUUAGCCUCCGUGGCUUUUCUCUUAGUCUCUUGAUCUCAGAUUCUACUCUAAAUCAUCUCUAAUACUUCUCUAAUCUCUCCUAAACUCUCAGAUUACUCUUUAUACUCUAAAACUUAUAUGGUAUCAGCGCCAGGUUCUUGAAAAUCUGAGUUCUUUGCGUGGGCUAAAGACUAAAGCUUUGAAGGUUCCGUGGAGUCUCUAGCCUCAAGUCUUCCUUGGUUACGUUGUGGUUACAAGAUUGAAGCUUUUGCGUGUGUGUUGUGAGUUCUUGACGUGUUGGUGCAGUCUAGUCUCAAGUUCAAAGUCUUCUACAAGUAGUUCAAGAACAAGCUGUUGAAGAUGGAUGGAGGGAUAAGCAUGCACAUGAAGGUGGCAGUUACUUUCAAGGGGAGUAACUACUUGGUGUGGUCUAGGAUGGUGAGAACCACAGUGGGAAGUAAGGGUUUGUGGAAGCAUCUCACGGAUGGUGAAGCUCCACAGCUCAUUACUCAGGGAGAAGACUCGGAAGAGGUCUCAAAUGAAACGGCCGUAGAGAAGUGGCAGCGAGAAGACAUGCUUGUGAUGUUAGUUCUUCAUGCCUCUCUAGAGCCGGCGAUCCUAGAGGCUUACAGCUAUUGUGAGUCAGCUAAGGAACUAUGGGACACCUUGAAGAAGGUGUAUGGGAAUGCUUCAAACCUUCACCGAGUGUUUGAAGUAAAGAAAGCCAUAAACGGCUUGGUACAAGAUGACAUGGAAUUCACCAAACAUUUGGGGAGGUUCCGGUCCUUAUGGUCAGAGCUGGAGAUGCUGAGGCCAAGCACAACCGAUCCAGAGCUGCUUAAUGAGAGGAGGGAGCAGGAUAAGGUCUUUGGACUAUUGCUUACCUUGAAUCCGGCUUACAACUCACUGAUUAAACACAUGUUGAGAGCGGAUAAGCUACCAGACCUUGAGGAGGUGUGCUCUCAAAUUCAGAAGGAGCAGGGGUCUAUUGGAUUGUUUGGAAGCAAAGGAGAGAUGUCACUUGCAAAUAAGGCUGCGCAAGUCAACUCUGAUGAAGCUCCUCAAGCAAACAAGGCCGGUUACAACAAGUUUGAAGACAGGAAGUUCAAUGGGAGCUGUGAUCAUUGCAAGAAGCAUGGCCAUAAGAAGAGCCAGUGCUGGAUACUCCACCCCCAUCUGAAGCCAGUCAAGUUCUUGAAGGAGAGGGAUGCCAGGGCAAAUGUGAGUGAAGGAUCAAGCGGUGCUGGUACCUCAGGAAAGAGCAAUGAUGAAGGAGGAAGGGAGAGUGAUGGCAGGUCCUUAGUGGCGUAUGCAGGCAAUCCAAAUCACCGAGGAGGGGAGCAAGACUACAUUAGGAGAUCAGACAUUGACUCCCUCAUCAAGAUGCUUAAGGAAAACGGUAACACUUAUGGUUAUUCCUUUGGUGCAUCAAUGAUAGUUAAGAAUGAUGAUAAUAGUCUUGAGAAACAUGGAAUUGCCAAACCGGAUCAUGUAUAUGCUAGUCUUGCUAGGACUGAUCACUCUCUCAAGUCAUCUAGUACAGUUUGUCUUAUGGCUAAUGACAUGACUAAACCAUUAGUAGUUGAUUCUGGUGCAUCUCAUCAUAUGAUUAGUGACACUAGUUUGAAUAAAGAUAUUGAACCUGCUAAUGGACAUGUGAUGAUUGCAAAUGGAGAUAAAAUCCCUAUUAGAGGAAUAGGAAACUUAAAACUAUUUAAUAAACAUACUAGAGCAUUCUACAUGCCAAAAUUCACAUCAAACUUACUAUCAGUAAAGAAGUGUACUACUGAUCUUCAUUGCAAUGUUAUCUUUAGUCCUAAUGAUGUGAAGUUUCAGGAUAUUGAGAGCAGCCAGUUGAUUGGAAAAGGAGUUACUAAAGGGGAUCUUUACAUGCUUGAAGAAUUAGCUCCUGUUUCUGAAUCAAGCUGUUUAUUUACUACUUCAAGUUUGAAUAAGAAUGCUUUGUGGCAUGCUAGACUAGGACAUCCUCAUAGUAGAGCCUUGAAUUUGAUGUUGCCAGGAGUUAAUUUUGAGAAUAAAGACUGCGCAGCUUGCAUUUUAGGCAAACAUUGUAAAACUGUGUUUCAAAGGUCAUCUACUAUUUAUGAAAAAUGCUUUGAUUUGAUUCAUUCUGAUGUAUGGACUGCACCUUGCUUAUCUAGGGAGAAUCAUAAGUAUUUUGUCACAUUCAUUGAUGAAAAAUCCAAAUACACCUGGUUAACCUUAAUCCCAUCUAAAGAUAGAGUUCUUGAUGCAUUUAAAAACUUUCAAGCUUAUGUGACUAACGAUUAUCAUGCUAAGAUUAAAAUUUUUAGAUCAGAUAAUGGAGGAGAAUACACUAGCCAUGCAUUCAAGUAUCAUCUAGCUCAUCAUGGGAUUCUUCAUCAAACAAGCUGCCCUUACACACCUCAACAGAAUGGUGUGGCUGAGAGGAAGAAUCGACAUCUCAUGGAGACUGCUCGGUCAUUAAUGUUUCAAGCAAAUGUUCCCAAAAGGUUUUGGAGUGAUGCUGUGGCCACUGCUUGCUACCUGAUCAACCGGACACCUACAAAGAUCCUUGAAGAUCAGGCACCAUUUGAGGUCUUGAAUAAACACAAGCCGUCGGUAGAACACUUGAGAGUCUUUGGGUGUUUGUGCUAUGUGUUGAUUCCGGGACAGAUGAGGAGCAAGUUGGAAGCAAGGAGUACAAAGGCUGUAUUCAUAGGCUACUCUACAACACAGAAGGGAUACAAAUGCUAUGAUCCAGAAGGAAGAAGAGUUCUAGUAUCACGGGAUGUGAAGUUUGUAGAAGAAAGAGGAUACUAUGAAGAAAAGAACCAAGAAGACUUGAAAGAUCUAACCUCAGAUAAGGCUUGGGUGUUAAGGAUUAUCCUAGAGGGGCUAGGAAUCAAGUGUUGAACUGAAGAGAAGAAUGGAGCUUGAGUCCAAUUAGGGCAAGCACUUGAAGAUCUUAAGAAGAGUUAUAUGAGUCCAAUUAGGGCAAGCACUUGAAGAUCUUCAGAAGAGAUGUGAAGCUAGUACAAAGUUAAGAUAGUGAUCUAGAAGAGUAGUAAUCAGAGUUGGGAGAUCUUUGGAGGAGUUUGGGAGCUUAAGGGCGAGGCCGGUACGGACGGCCGUACGGAUGGUACGGCCUGUACGGACAUGAUCGACUCAAGACUUAUGGACUCGACCAUUUGAAGAUAUUUGAGGGCUGUGCAAAUAUAGGGCAUUGGUGUACGGUUAUGGCAAGUCCGUACAGCCAAGGAGAAGCUCUAAUAUGAAUGUGCAAAGUCCGGGAUGGUGAGAAGCAUCAAAUGGAAUCAAGAAGAUGCUUUGGUGGCAAGAAGAUUCAAACAAGAGUUGGCGCCAGUUUGUGGGAAGUAUGGGAUUGGUUGUAGUGGUCCACGACAGGCUGGCCACAGCUGGAAAGGAAGAGCAAGACAAGGUUGUGUAUCUGGACAGUUAAAUGGGCAGAUACACAAGUUCUCCUCACCAUACUUUCCCUCAUCCAAUCAGGCACAUACAAGCAGCUAGUAAAGCACCAAGAGACUAGCUCAAACAUCUGAUAAGGCUACAAGCCUUAGGAUGAUCUUAGAGAGUCUUGGGAUUAAUCUAACCCAGGAUCCAAAGGCGCGAGAGACGCCUACUAGGAAUGAAGCUGAAGACACAUCCCACAUUGAUCAUGAGGGGGAAGACAAGUCUGAGGCGGUUCAUGAAGGAGGAAGAGACUCAGCUAGUCCUGAUCAAAGUGGGAUAAAUGAUGAAGAGUCAAGUGAGGUAAGGGAUCAAAGUGGAGGUACACCACUAGUACCUGAAGAAGAGGAAGAAGAAAUGCAACCAGAAGUGGAAAACAUGACUAGUGCUCCAGUUGUGGAGAGUGUGCCUGCGCCGGUGAGGAGGAGUACAAGAGUAAGGAAAGAUCCAUCUAACUGGGCUAUAAGUUUUAACAGAGUUCAGGUUGUGUGUGUGAUGAACACGCCCUUAAGGGCAAGAGAUCUUGUCUUUUGACAAUAAUGGAAGAGAAUAAAAGAGAGACUGAUGGAAGAAUAAGAAUGGUGUGAGAUUAAGAGACUUUGAGUGAGAGAUUAAGAGAUUAGAGAGACUGAGAGAUUAAGUAACCAGAGAAUAGAGAUUGAGAGAUUCAAAGUAACCAAAGACUAUGAAGGAGAAGGGAAAAUCCCCCUUACUCACUUAGUUUACAAAAUCUACUACAAUGAGCUUUUAUAUGCAUUACAACUUGUAAGAAUAAACCUAAGAUCUCUGGCUGUGCUUUUCUAAUUUGAAUGGACGACCUGGAUCAGUCUUGAUGGUCAGAUGUGGUCUGUACACGAGCUGGAUAGGAAAGGAGAGAUGAAAGGCCAAGAUCUCUUUGUUUGAAAUGGAUGGUUGUAAAGGCUCACAUGCUUGUACAGCUUGCAUAUUCAUGUGGAGUCAAAGAUGCUUUCUUGGCAGCUUAUGACAGCCUGUCUAGGACCACAUACAGCUCCUCCCUUAUCCUCCAACGUCCAUAAGCUCAGACUUAGCUUCUCUUGCGCCCUAAGAUUUCCCAACACCAUUUCAGGUCAAUCCGGUACACUUUCUUGUCAGUACGGAUUAUGGUACGGACCUUCUGUCCGUACCACGCCCUAUUCUUGCACAUCACCCAGACUUCCUCCUUGGUUGAUCCAGACACCUUCUUAGGUCGCCCAUGGCCGUACAAGACCGUACCGUCCGUACAGGUCUGUGCAGUCGCCCUAACUUUGCACUCUUGCCCAUCUUCUCCCAAACUUCUCCAAAGCCUUCUCAUGAUCAGUCUAAGUCUUUCCUAGACUUAACUUCUCAAGAAAACUACUUCAGAACACUUCUGAAGCUUGAUUGAACUCUUCUGGAUAUCUUCUAGAGCUUGCCCUAUUAAUGUACAAGCUCUAUCUUCUCUUCAGUUCAACACUCCCCCUCAAGCUUGACUUUAGGAGAUCCUAAGCCGAGCUUGGAACUCUGAAGAGUCUCCCUCAUUAAAAACCUUACAAGGAAAACCCAUUGGGACAAAACCUUGCAAGGGAAAAAGAGUAGAGCUCUCCAAAGCCUAGGGAUUGGCCAGUGAGCUCUUGUGCCUUAGAACCAGUGUGGUUGGACACAAGAAGCUCUGGAUCACGGCCUAAUAGGUGCAGCAACACUUCACAGCUUUGCACACACUUCACACCUCAGCUUCAUCUCUUCAUGGAACCGGUUUGAGACUCCCCUUCUCAACAAGCUUCAUAGCCUUCUUAGAAAUGCAAUGAUGUGACCGGAUCAUCUUUAAGCAUCAGUGAGGCUGAACCAUACUUCAAACUAUGCUUGCCCUCUUCAUAGAACUGGUUUGGAUCUCCCCCUCUCAACAGACUUCACAGCCACCUUAGAGAAGCUCGGAAAUGACCAGGAACAUCUUUAGUGAGGCUCAAGCAAUGGUACCUGAUACAUUAUCCCAAAGAUGCAUCAGUACCUAUCAAAACCAAGAAAAUGAAUAUCCUGCAUCACACUUGAUGCACACAAUCUCACAAUUCAAUCAUAAUCAUUUUAAGUAUCUUUUCAAGCACAAGCACUGAAUAAGAUGAAUGAAAAGGAUUGAAAAGAGUUUUAAAAUUAAGAGAACUUCCCUUGUGUUUUUUUUGUGAGUUUCCUAACUCGGCCAAUGCACCAUCUUCAUGGCAUCAUCAACUUCUUGGAAAGGCAGAAUGGAUUCAUCAGCUUCUCCUCAAUCACCUCUUAUUGAAGCCGCAUUGAUGGAGAGCCUUCUUCCUUAGACUCCCUAGAAUAGCUCCGGCUGAUGAUCCUUUGUUGAAGCCUUUGCACUGACUUGUUACUGACCAUGGAUCAUAUGCAUUAAGACUCCCCCUCAAGCUUAGAACCAAGAAUAGAAGGAGCUAAGCUUGUGAUGAUCCUAUGCAUCUCCAUGGUCUAAUAACUAUCAUCUUUCAUGAUAGCUUUCUUCUUGUGAGUUUACUCGCUUACUUAACCAGGAACUAGGGUGUUUGAAUCACCAUAGAGAGUCUCACAAGACACACCUCUCAUUGCAUAAUGACCCAUGCUACACUUCCUGUAGACUAAGGACUAGAUAUGUCCAAUGGUAUUAUGCAAUGGCCAUUUCUCAUUGCAUACUCAAUCACACUACACUUCCUGUAGAUUAUGGACUAACAUGUCCUAGUGAUGAUAUGCAAUGGCACAAGAUCUUUGUCUUUACAUUCUUGGUUGUUGGCGAGUUACAUGUAUCACAUUCCUUGUGUACCUAACACCACCACAACUCAAUGCAAGAUCAGAUCAUCCCAUUGGGAUCAAACCAAGAUUAUCCAUCCUGUUUGAUCACCAAUGCCACAAUAAUAUAUGAUACUUGAAACAGGCUAGACAAUCAAGACAAUCAAGCAAAGACAAUCAAUUCAGUUUUUUUUUUUAAAUGCAACAAUAGAUGAAUGCAUUAGGUUACAUACUAAUUAUAUGAAUGAAAUAGAUUCAACCCAAAUGAAACACAAGCCUAGAUGAUACUUAUGCAAUCAAGGCGACAAGAGUGACUCAAUUCAUGCUUAUGCUCACUAGUUUUAUCAAAGCCAAUGAUUCAAAUAGCUUAGACAUACUUCUAAAUGCU
rnacentral:lncRNA from 1 species